UUUCCGUAGGUGAACCUGCGGAAGGAUCAUUAUUGUAUAACCGAGGUGCGAGGGCUGUCGCUGACCCGAAAGGUCGUGCACGCCCGAGUGCCCUCACACACAUCCAUCUCACCCCUAUGUGCACCACCGCGUGGGUCCCCCUUUGGCUUGUUCGGAGGGGGGCUUACGUUUUCACACAAACUUAGUAUGCAGUGUAGAAUGUAUUUUUUGUUUUUGCGAUCACGCAAUCAAUACAACUUUCAACAACGGAUCUCUUGGCUCUC
rnacentral:misc_RNA from 1 species